UUCACGUUUACGUUUGCAAAGUGGAGUAGUUUCAAAAUGAGAGAAAAUUCUGUUUUGUCUUUACAAAAAAAUGCUUUUACAAAGCGUUCACUUGAAGAAAAAAACAGGAUAAAGGAGCUAGGACCGGAUCGUCCCAAUUUACAAAUUCAGCAGCAGGCAAGUGAUCGUGGACGAUCCUACACGCGGGCUUUUUCCAGCUCUUCUUAUGACAAGCGGAGUUGGCUAGCUGGAUGUGAUGUAAGCAAUGCCUUUUACUGCUUUCCGUGUUUGCUAUUUCAAAGUUCUGGCACGGAGGCAAUGUGGACAACAACUGGGGUAAGAGACUUAAAACAUCUUUCAGAAAAAUGCAAACGGCACGAAAACAGCCGCAGCCACCUAGACAAUGCAAUGAAGCUAAGUUUUGGGGGGAAACUUAGCAUUGCUCAACAGCUAGAUGAAGGCUACAGGAUUGCUGUUAGAAGGCACAAUGAAGAGGUGACAAAAAAUCGGCACAUCCUUUCUAGAAUAAUAGACUGUGUUAAGUUUUGUGGAGCCUUUGAGCUGGCCUUGCGUGGUCAUGACGAAAGUAAGAGCUCUGAAAAUCCCGGGAUCUUUCGUGGGUUGGUUGAUUUUGUUGCUUCUCUUGAUGGAGUACUAAAAGAGCACCUUGAGAAUGCUACUGUGUUUAAGGGAACUUCGAAAACUGUGCAGAAUGAGCUACUGGACUGUAUGUUUUCUGUUCUGAAGGAGCAUAUAAUCAAAGAAGCACAGAGCAGUGAUUUUCUUUCAAUCCAGGCAGACGAGACUGUGGAUGUUGCUACGCAGUGCCAGCUUGUGCUUGUACUACGCUAUAUCGAUGCCAAAAACACUGUGCAGGAAAGGUUUUUUGAGUUUAUCCCUCUGCAGUCGGCUACAGCUGAUUCCAUUGCUACAGCCCUAAAAGAACGUCUUGCAACUAUUCUUCCUGAGGAUCAAAAGGCUAAGCUAAUCUGUCAGGCAUAUGAUGGAGCCAGCGUGAUGCGAGGUGCCACUGCAGGUGUUCAGAAGAAGAUACAAGAUGUGUACCCAAAUGCCCACUACAUCCACUGCUAUGCUCAUCAGCUCAAUCUAAUAAUGCAACAGGCUACUUCUCACAUAACCAAAGUUAGAAUUUUUUUUUUCUAACCUUAGUGGAUUUUCCAGCUUUUUUUCCAGAUCAUCCAAGCGCACAAGCGUUCUUGAUAAAGUUGUGGCCCACAGACUACCAGCAUCCAGCAAUGUCAGAUGGAACUUUCACAGCCGUGCCAUCAAUACUGUGUUUGAGCACAGAGAGGACCUCAUCCGCUGUUUCCAAAGCAUACAAGACUCUGGUGACUUUGACCCCAUUACCGUCAGAGAGGCUGGAGCAUUUGCCAUGCUACUGGAGGAUCAGGAUUUUAAGUUCUUUCUGCAACUUUUCCACCAUAUCAUGCCUCAUGUGGACCUUCUCUAUGCCAAACUCCAGAAGAAGGUCAUAGAUUCAGUCUGUAUCCAGGAGAGCAUCCAACAGUUCCAGCAGGACAUUCAAAAGAUCAGGUCUGUGAUAUCAUACUGGGACACACCAGGGAGCGCUUUUCUUUCACAAACCACCUUGUUAGUGCCACACUCCUGCAGGGGGACAGAUUUGAACAAUACAACACAGCAUUUCCUGAAGAUGCACUGAGCAACACCUUAAAAGCCUAUCCAGUGCUCAAUCGAGGUAAGCUGAAGACAGAGCUUACUCUCAUCUACAGCAAGGAAGAGUUCAAAGCCUGUUGUGGUGCUGUGGGCCUACUCCAGCUGUUUAUGGAAAACAAUCUAGAAGAAGUCUUUUCAGAAACUGUCACGCUCUUGAAGAUCCUCAUCACCAC